rnacentral:lncRNA from 1 species
GGUGCGUAGAAUCGAGAAGGGCAGCAAGGACAUGAAAAUAUCCAUGCACAUGCAUAAGAUUCAAGAAUUGUCCUUACGUACUUCGCUGAUGACUAGAUGGACCUAUGAGCUCACAUACGGAGUUGCAACACCCCACGUGAUAAAUAUUAUAUCCGAAACCAAUGAUAGUCAAGCAAAUGGAUUGAUGGUCGGUUGUUUUGGCUGUUAGCUGCUUUUGAUCCUAGGUGUUGCGG